GACGAACGCUGGCGGCGUGCUUAACACAUGCCAGUCGAACGGAAAGGCCCUGCUUUUGUGGGGUGCUCGAGUGGCGAACGGGUGAGUAACACGUGAGUAACCUGCCCUUGACUUUGGGAUAACUCCAGGAAACUGGGGCUAAUACCGGAUAGGAGCUCCUGCUGCAUGGUGGGGGUUGGAAAGUUUCGGCGGUUGGGGAUGGACUCGCGGCUUAUCAGCUUGUUGGUGGAGUAGUGGCUUACCAAGGCUUUGACGGGUAGCCGGCCUGGGAGGGUUGACAGCCACAUUGGGACUGAGGGACGGCCCAGACUCCUACGGGAGGCAGCAGGGGGGAAUAUUGCACAGUGGGCGGAAGCCUGAUGCAGCAACGCCGCGUGCGGGAUGACGGCCUUCGGGUUGUAAACCGCUUUCGCCUGUGACGAAGAGUGAGUGACGGUAAUGGGUCAAGAAGCACCGGCUAACUACGUG
rnacentral:rRNA from 1 species